rnacentral:lncRNA from 1 species
CUUUUUCAAGGUUUUGUUGGUAGAGGUCUCAUACAGAGGAAGCAUAUUACCUAAUUGGUCUGAUCGUGAUUUAUGGUGCCUCAAAAACAUAUUAUCUAUUAUAUAAUAAAAAAAAAGAAGGUGUGAUGACAACCCUCUACUAGUCUGGGCAAAUGACAUAAACAUUAACAACUAAAGGUUACCGUACGGCCUUCAACAAUGAAAAAACCACACCGCAUAGUAAACUUUAAAAAUGUAAAUCAAUUCAAACGGCCUGAUUUAUGUGCAAAAUAAUCCAUGAAUAAAAAAAAGCGUGAUAUACAUCACCAAACGACAACCACAUAAUUACAGGCUCAUGUUUCUCUUUCAUGCAUUGAUUUUUGAAAAUGUAAAAUUUUUACUGAAAAUUGUAUUUUUAUUUUAUACUCCAACAUGCCAAAAUCGUUAUUAUUACCAUUUAAGUAUCAUUUAACUUAUGAAUAAGCACUACCGAAAGCUAAAUAUAAAAAAAGAAGAUGUGGUAUGAUUGCCAACGAGACAACUGUCCACAAGAGACCAAAAUGACAUAGACAUUAACAACUAUAGGUCACCCUACGGCCUUCAACAAUGAGCAAAGCCCGUACCGCAUAGUCAGCUAUAAAAGGCCCCUGAUAUGACAAUGUAAAACAAUUCAAACAAGAAAACUAACGGCCUUAUUUAUAUAAAAAAAUGAACGAAAAACAAAUAUGUAACACAUAAACAAACGACAACCACUGAAUUACAGGCUCCUGACUUUGGACAGGCACAUACAAAAACAAUGUGGCAGGGUUAAACAUGUUAGCGGGAUCCGAAUCCUCCCUCUAACCUGGGACAGUGGUAUAACAGUACAACAUAAGAACGAACUAUAAAAAUCAGUUGAAAAAGGCUUAACUCAUCAGAUGGACAAACAUAAAGACUGUAUUUGUGUAAAUAUAUCUUGGUUGUUUUUUUUGCAGGUUAGAUCUACAAGCGUUAAUGGUUAAAGUAAAUCACGAUGUCUCCGAGGAAAAUAUAGAUAUAGUGAAAGGAGAACAAGCUAAGAAACAAGUUCCAAUGACACAAAUUACACUGCGAAAAUUACUCUUUUUCUCGCCAGAUAACUUGAAAUAAUCAUCAUUGUGACAGCUGUAUCUUAUCUUGCUGACCUGUGAUAAUUUAUGAACAUUACGGAACUGAGGCCGACAUUAUUAUUUAUAAAGUGUGCUCGAAUCGUUACAUAAUUUGCGCUAAUGACUUAAUACGGUAUAUAUGGGGUCAGUAAAUUCCAUAUGGGAUGAGAACGAAUGUUCUGUCCCCAUAUAUAUCGUAUAACGCCACUAGCACACUAUGUAGCGAAUUUAUCUUACCGACUUUUUUUGAAAUGUGGUAUUUAGACUAGUGAGCAAGUCUUCAAUAGUGUUAGAAUUAAGAUAAAAUUAAGAAUGGAAAUGGGGAAUGUACUUCCCUUAGUCUAAACAAGAACAAAUGCCAACACUAACAACUUGUUAGCUUUAAAUGUGUUUUAUGAAUUCAUUUCAAUCUUUCAUCAUCGAUUUCUUUGUUUUUUUUUAAAUCUUUCAGAUCUUUUCCAAGUAUCGUUUUGUUUUUAUACAGAAACGUAACACCACGUCUAACCGUGUAUUGAAAUAAACACGGUCUCCACGCGGUUGCUUUUAACCAAUCGCAUUCCUAGAAAUGUAUAGGACGUAAUAUAAAUUAUUCCCCCCCUUUAAUGACGAACCGCGUAUAAGGCUUUUCAUAUGGUACGAAUUUGUAUUUUUUCCCGCUUCUAUUUUCUGCAUACAUCCCAAAUCCCGUUUUUUGACCCAAGUUAUCCCACAUUCAAAAGUGUAUCACCCCUUUACAAAGACGCUUGAUUAUUAACUUCAUCUUAUCUGAUUUGUAAUGUGUUUCAAACGUGUACCUACUUAAAUUCAUUUUGUAUAAUCAUUUAAAUAUGAAAAAAAAAUACAUGUUUGUAUCUACAU